rnacentral:sRNA from 12 species
AGAACAAGGCACCCGGGACAAAUCCCAGAGGGAAAGUUAGUGAUAACUACCGGACUGUCUGACC